GCUUGUCUCAAAGAUUAAGCCAUGCAUGUCUAAGUAUAACUCUUUUACUUUGAAAACUGCGAACGGCUCAUUAUAUCAGUUAUAGUUUCUUUGAUAGUCCCUUACUACUUGGAUACCCGUAGUAAUUCUAGAGCUAAUACAUGCAUCAAUACCCAACUGUUCGCGGAAGGGUAGUAUUUAUUAGAUGGAAACCAAUGCGGGGCAACCCGGAUUCUGGUGAUUCAUAAUAACUUUCGGAUCGAUCCUCGGAUCGAUGCAUCAUUCAAGUUUCUGCCCUAUCAGCUUUGGAUGGUAGGGUAUUGGCCUACCAUGGCUUUAACGGGUAACGGAGAAUUAGGGUUCGAUUCCGGAGAGGGAGCCUGAGAAAUGGCUACCACAUCCAAGGAAGGCAGCAGG
rnacentral:rRNA from 1 species